AUACGUAGGGGGCGAGCGUUGUCCGGAAUGAUUGGGCGUAAAGGGCGCGUAGGCGGCCUGUUAAGUCUGGAGUGAAAGUCCUGUUUUCAAGAUGGGAAUUGCUUUGGAUACUGAUGGGCUUGAGUGCAGGAGAGGUUAUCGGAAUUCCCGGUGUAGCGGUGAAAUGCGUAGAGAUCGGGAGGAACACCAGUGGCGAAGGCGGGUAACUGGACUGCAACUGACGCUGAAGCGCGAAAGUGUGGGGAGCAAACAGGAUUAGAUACCCUGGUAGUCCACACUGUAAACGAUGAAUGCUAGGUGUAAGAGGUAUCGACCCCUUUUGUGCCGGAGUUAACACAAUAAGCAUUCCGCCUGGGGAGUACGGCCGCAAGGUUGAAACUCAAAUGAAUUGACGGGG
rnacentral:rRNA from 1 species